UAGGGAAUCUUCCGCAAUGGGCGAAAGCCUGACGGAGCAACGUCGCGUGAGUGAUGAAGGUCUUCGGAUCGUAAAACUCUGUUAUUAGGGAAGAACAAAUGUGUAAGUAACUAUGCACGUCUUGACGGUACCUAAUCAGAAAGCCACGGCUAACUACGUGCCAGCAGCCGCGGUAAUACGUAGGUGGCAAGCGUUAUCCGGAAUUAUUGGGCGUAAAGCGCGCGUAGGCGGUUUUUUAAGUCUGAUGUGAAAGCCCAGGGCUCAACCGUGGAGGGUCAUUGGAAACUGGAAAACUUGAGUGCCGAAGAGGAAAGUGGAAUUCCAUGUGUAGCGGUUAAAUGCGCAGAGAUAUGGAGGAACACCAGUGGCGAAGGCGACUUUCUGGUCUGUAACUGACGCUGAUGUGCAAAAGCGUGGGGAUCAAACAGG
rnacentral:rRNA from 1 species